CAAUAGCGUAUAUUAAAGUUGUUGCAGUUAAAAAGCUCGUAGUUGGAUUUCUGGGCUGGCCGGACGGUCCACCUCACGGUGAGAACUGGCUGGUCGGCCCUUCCUCUCGAAGUGUUGCGGUGUUCUUAACUGAGUGCUGUGGCAAUUCGGGACCUUUACUUUGAAAAAAUUAGAGUGUUCAAAGCAGGCCUUCGCUUGAAUACAUUAGCAUGGAAUAAUGGAAUAGGACUUUGGUUCUAUUUUGUUGGUUUCUAGGACCGAAGUAAUGAUUGAUAGGGACAGUUGGGGGCAUCAGUAUUCUGAAGCGAGAGGUGAAAUUCUUGGACCUUCGGAAGACUAACAACUAGCGAAAGCAUUUGCCUAGGAUGUUCUCUUUAAUCAAGAACGAAAGUUAGGGGGAGUCGAAGACGAUCAGAUACCAU
rnacentral:rRNA from 1 species